CCUUACAGCGGUAGGUGAAGAUGCAUGACCGGUGAUCACCUGGUGAUUCUCUCUCUUGAGGGAGAGUCUUGAGGCCUUGAGGCCUCACCUGGAGUUCUGUGUCCAGUCCUGGGGUCCCCAGCGGAAGGCGUGGAACUGCUGGAACAGGUGCAGAGGAGACCAUGAAGAUACUCAGAAGGAUGGAGCACCUUUCCUAUGGAGGAAGGCUGAGGGAGCCGUGCUUGUUUGCCUGGAGAAGAGAAGGUUGGAGGUACUCAAGCUACACAUGCAAGCUGCAGUCUCAUGGAACACUUCCAAGAUGUCUAAUUCAUUGAUGUAAACUGAUCUAUAGACCACUCUGUGGGAGUAUACACUCAGUUUGGUUCUAAGAUCAAGUCCAUGUCUCGGAUCACCAAGAAGAAGACCAUAGAUCCCAAAGAGAAAAGGAAAGAAGCCAAAAAUCUUGAAUCUACAGCAUGACAGGUUCUGUGGCCAUGAUUAGAAAUGUUUCCAAUACAAAAUCUCAUUUUUUUUUUCAUCCUGGUUUAUUGAAAUAUAUUUAGUCUGUAAAUAGCUUCGAAUGUCUAUUCAUACUGUUCCAUCUUGCAUGAGAACAAAGCUAUUCUCUUCCUGCAAUUUAUAUUCUAUUUUCACUGCUUCUGUAAUUCUACAGAAUUUCAGAACUAUCUUCUGCAGCAACAUUUUGGAGAGUUUAUUUAUUCUUUUUAAUAUAUAGAUUUAUUUUUGCAGCAUUGAUAUUUCAGGUUGCCAUGGCUCCUGUUUUUGUGUCAGUGCCAUGACAGAAGCAGCUGACACUUCACUGCAAUUUUUCUUCCCUCUCGGCACAUUGACUAAUCAAUCCCAAUUAUGCCCCCAGAGUCUGCAUUGUUGUCUGCAUGGUUUAGCAGGAGCAGCAAGGUGUGAAAAGGGCUUUCCACAGUGGAGACAAAAAACACUUACCACUGGUGUUAAGACAGGAUAUGUGAAGCGUGAGGCUUCUUACGUUGAAAUCACUGUGCCCUAUCAGCAGGACGGUAGGAAGUUUAUGUUUUAUUGGUGGGAGAACCAAUAGUGCUGCAGUUGCCCCCAUCUGUUAUUUAGGCUAGUGCAAGAUCACCAAGGGAGGUGGGGUGGAGAAUUUUGUGCACUGUUGGUGUCCUGGCAACUUGAUAACCAAUUCCUGCAAUUCUGUGUUACAGAUUUGAUUUUCAAUGACAUUCUCCACUUUCAGUAAUUAGUUUAAAAUCUUAUCCAGUUUGUUUGGAUUGGUAUUAGAUGUUUAAAUACAGAGAAGUGAUAUUGAGAAUUAGAUGCUAACUGAGCAGAGAACUGCUGUUCAUACCAUUAAACCAUGGCAAUAAAAUCCAGAUUUUUGACAGUCUGUUCCACUUGGGCAAAGAAUGACAAAGGCUAGAGUGGGACCAUUGCAUCUUAGAGCAGGGUAUGUUUAAUUGCCCCCACUCUGAGGCAGUAGAAAGAUUUCCACAUAAUAGUUCCUAAUCUUUGUAAUUCCAUGGUUGAUUCUAGUGAUUACUUCAGAUUCCAACAUGAAUCAAAACAGGUGUGUAGGACAUUGUCUAUUAAUCACCAAAGAAUGGAAAUAAAAUAUGACUAUGUACUUGCCAGUUGU
ensembl:lncRNA